rnacentral:rRNA from 1 species
AGCGAACGCUGGCGGCAGGCCUAACACAUGCAAGUCGAACGAAGUCUUCGGACUUAGUGGCGGACGGGUGAGUAACACGUGGGAACGUACCUCUUGGUUCGGAACAACUCAGGGAAACUUGAGCUAAUACCGGAUGAGCCCUUAGGGGGAAAGAUUUAUCGCCGAAAGAGCGGCCCGCGUUAGAUUAGCUAGUUGGUGAGGUAAAGGCUCACCAAGGCUACGAUCUAUAGCUGGUCUGAGAGGAUGAUCAGCCACACUGGGACUGAGACACGGCCCAGACUCCUACGGGAGGCAGCAGUGGGGAAUAUUGCGCAAUGGGCGAAAGCCUGACGCAGCCAUGCCGCGUGAAUGAUGAAGGUCUUAGGAUUGUAAAAUUCUUUUACCAGGGACGAUAAUGACGGUACCUGGAGAAAAAGCCCCGGCUAACUUCGUGCCAGCCGCCGCCGUAAAAC